rnacentral:misc_RNA from 1 species
AUUUUUGCAAUCAAGAAUAGAUUAUUUGAAUAUAUACAUGUUUAUAUACCAGAGACAUUUCAUAGCUGGUUUGGGGCAAGAAUAUUAUAAUUAAUUUUCUCACAUUCAAAUAAAGGUUGGUUUACAGUGAUUCUCAUUUGGUCAGUUAGUAAUAUCUGUUGUUUGCAUAUAAAUCUCUAUUUUACUCCUACAGUUUAUAUAAUAUACAUAUAAUUAUAAACCAAUAUUUCAACUUAAUUGACAACAAUUUUCUUCACUUUUAUCUGUAAACCUAUGCAUGCAGGGAACAAUCCUCUAUUUGUUAAUUGUUCUUAACACAAGAAGCUGUUAAAUGAAACACUUACUGAAUCAUCAGCGGACUGAUCUUGCCUUGAAGUGGUCUGUUGCCCUAAGCCGGCUAAUAUCAGUACAAUAUCUCACAAACCUAGUAUAUUACUGUAUAAUGUUGAAGGGAAAUUGUCUUUUUUUUUUUCAAACACAUAUCAUGUAUCCCCUUUAACUGAUAGCAUUGCAAUUAAGGACCGUAAGUAAAAACUGUAGAAAUGGAUGACCAUGCAAUUACCAGUGCUACAUCGAAAAACAAAAGAAUUGAAAAAAUAUCUAAACCUAUAUCAGACCUACAAGUUCAGCAACAUUCUGUGCAAUAUCAUGAUAUAACCAGUAAUAAUGAGGAUUAGAUAUAAGGAGGGUAGUUUGAAAACCGUUAUUUUAAUGUUCUGUAGAUUUCAGUUUGCAUUGUGCUGUUCUCUUGGUAAUUUCCACUCUGCAUCAGAGUUAAAUGAAUGGGUUGGAUUGAGUCCAAGUUUACAUCUGUUAAUCUGCUGUUUACCAGUACUAAUAUUUCAGUCUGGAGCUGCAUUGUACAUUGUAUUCUAGAAUUAGAUAUAACUUUGUAAGUAUUGUUUUGUCUUCAUUGGACAUUAACCACAUAAAUUUGUCUUUUUUUUGGUUAAAAGUAUAAAGUUUUUGGUGAGGUAUAUUUAAGUGAAUUUCUGAUCAAUGCUUUCAAUAAAAGACAGAAUACUUUGAGAUCUAAAUGACCGGUGAAAUACUAAUACAAAUCAUUAUACUAUCUUUAUAUUUGUAUAAAUUACUUUUAUGAGUUCAUAUUAAAUGCACAUUGUAAAUGUUGUUGACAUACUGAUAUACAUUUGCCCAGCUGUUACAAGUUCAUGUAUAUGUACCGGUAUGUAGAAUCUUUCUUUUAGACAUUAUGUAGAAUCUUUCUUUUAGGCAUUUCUGUCUAAUAUCUGUAAUCUUGUAUGCCCUCUGGGCCCAAAAUUGGAAAUAAACUAUUAUUAUUAUUAUACCUCACCUUGUUCAUGUCUGUAUGUCUACAAUUUUGAAAGUGAUUUAUAUUGUUUUAUUUUCAAUUGAUCCUGUUUGCAAUGGUGAGUGUUUAAGUAAAUGAGAAAAG